AUGGAAACUCUUGGCCGUUUCAUCUGUCCACGAGAAAUGAGUUCUUCCCAGGACCCAGAGGUGCAGGUGAAAGCCUUCUUGGACACCAGUCCAUCCCUCCCAGUGUUCACCACUCAAAUUGUCUCCUACUCUAAACUGGAGGCUCAGAUUGAAGACUUGCCAGCCUCCUGCACCAUGGGUUCAGUCCUGUUCCACAGACCACCUCAAGCUCUCCCUGACUCAGGAGUGUUGUGCCUGGACGCUGUGGCGCUGAGCUGAACAGCCAGGCCUCAGCCAACAUACACUCCUUUGUGGACAGCUUGACCAAGAGGCUCCAGAGGCCUAUCGAUGACCUGGAGGAUGUUUCUGAGAGGUAAGAAAGGCAGAGAUCCGGAUAGAUGCCACCAUCGGCCCCCUGGAGGAGUUGUUCACCCUGCUCAACCGCCACGAGUUGAUCUUCAGCGAAGGUCGACGGGCUGAUGUACGCCUGGAAGAACUUUAAUGCACUGGUGGGUGGAAAAUUAAACCUCAUUGGACAGGAAAAGGCGCAACGCUCGCUCAUCGUUAAAAAAAAUCCAAGUUUUAUUAGGCAAGUUUAAAAGAUUGACGUUUCGGCCUUCUUCAGAAUAAUCACUAAGGGAAUGGACAAGUUCAUAUAGGGCAUGGGGAAGACAGUUAGGGAGAAAGCACCACCAACUGAAGAGAGUUAAUGAGACCAUACAUGGUGGUAGUGAUGGUGUGGGGUGCUAUGGCCAAUGUCUCCAUCUAGUGAUGAAAUACAGAAGUGGAACCAGUAAAAAUCUAUUGGAAAACUGGGCAAGCUUUUUUCAACUACAGUAGGUGUAAAUGGUAUACAACCAUUACCAUAUGAUACAUGCUGAAAAUGUUGGGUAUUUAAGCAGUAAGGCACAAGGGGGUGUGGUAUAUGACCAACAACGCAAUCCCAGAGGUGCCUUAUUGCUAUUAGAAACUGGUUCCCAACGUAAUUAGGGUUAUGUUUUGUCAUACCCGUGGUAUACGGUCUGAUAUACUAUGACUGUCAGCCAAUCAGGAUUCAAGGCUCAAACCACACAAUUUAUAAUGGAAAAUAAACAACUGGGCCAUGCAAAUCUACAAAACAUCAACAGCUUGAACAACAGUUAGUGAGCUCCCUCCAUGUGUAAACAAUGGGGGGGGUCCUUCAGUGUUUGUCAACAUCGCCACCACGUUUCUUUUACAGACUUGUUCAAUUCCAAUUCCUCAUACACUUUAGAUGUGUAUGUCACGGCCCGACCUGGGGUGCUAAAAACUUUUCAUACAUUUGGUGUCCUAGCUUUGAGUACAAUUUCCACAGUUAAACCUGCCAUCAACUGUACGUCACAUGUAAGUCAUAUGUCACAUUUUCUCGCCUGAUAUUUCAUGGUUCUUCGAUUCACUUGUCGUGUGUGAAGUGUGGUUAUCUUGUAGCCUACCGAGGCAAAAUAUACAAAAAUGUCUCAGGAAUUUGACAAAGUUCAAGACUAACAUACUGUAGAGAGUGUAUUAGUUGUUGUAACCAACCAAUACAUAUAUUCUAUACAUUUGGCAGCAGAGGGCAGCAAAUAACUGAGUAUGUGAUGGACAUAUCCUUCCUGCUCUUGCUCAAAUUUAUGCCAAAGAUGGUGGAUAAAGGAAGAUGUCCAACAACAACAACAAAAAAUCACAGUUCCAGUCUGCUUAAAGGGUGGCUAUCCCAUAGGCACCAAUGCAUUAGCAGCUGUGACUGAUCUGCUUAGUUCAUUGAAUGUAUAUGAACCAGAAAAAAGGAUGGAGUUAAAUAUCUCACUUCCACUCCUGUAUCUGUUUGAGCUGUGCUCUGUAUCUGAAACCAAAACAAUGACUAAGAUUCAACCUGUCAUGAAGGCAGACCUACUGUCAGUGGUGGAGGCCUUCCAAACUCUGUCCAGAUCUACUACUCUGACUAUGACAAAAGGUACGGUACAGUAAGCAUUCUUAUUGAAAAUGGGGCGGCAGGUAGCCUAGUGGUUAGAGUGUUGGGCCAGUAACCGAAAGGUCGCUGGAUUGAAUCCCUGAACUGAUAAAAAAAUAAAUAAUAAUAAUUCUGCCCCUGAACAAGGCUGUUAACCCACUAUUCCCCAGUAGGCUGUCAUUGUAAAUAAGAAUUUGUUCUUAACUGACUUGCCUAGUUAAAUAAAGAUUAAAUGCAAAAAAAUAAAAGAGAAAGUCCACCCCAAAAUCGACCUGUCCUGAAGCCACUCCUGCGUUGUCUUGGCUGUGUGCUUGGGGUUGUUGUCCUGUUGGAAGGCGACCCUUCGCCCCAGUCUGAGGUCCUGAGCACUCAUCAAGGAUCUCUCUGUACUUUGCUACGAUCAUCUUUCCCUCGAUCCUGACUAGUCUCCCAGUCCCUGCCGCUGAAAAACAUAUCCACAGCAUGAUGCUGUCACCAACAUACUUCAUUGUAGGGAUAGUAUUGGCCAGGCGAUGAGUGGUUCCUGGUAACCUCCAAAUGUGACGCUUGGGAUUCAGGCCAAAGAGUUCAAUCUUGGUUUCAUCAGACUAGAGAAUCUUGUUUCUUAUGGUCUGAGUGUCCUUUUGCCUUUUGGCAAACUCCAAGCGGGCUGUCAUGUGCCUUUUACUGAGGAGUGGCUUCCGUCUGGCCACUCUACCAUAACGGCCUGAUUGGUGGAGUGCUGCAGAGAUGUUUGUCCUUUUGGAAGGUUCUCCCAUCUCCACAGAGGAACUCUGGAGCUCUGUCAGAAUGACCAUUGGGUUCUCCCCCGAUUGCUCAGUUUACUUUAUUUUACUUUACUGACUUUAUUGUCCCCAUGGUGAAAUGUUGAUGCAGUGUCAUGUACACGUUUAAAGUGGAGUUUAAAUACAAAACAAAUUGACAAUACAACUUUCAUAACAGUUACAUACCAAUAAAAAGAGACUAGCCUGCUGGCCUUACUGAGUCGAUAGGAACAUUAGCCCGAGCUAUUUAGGAGGGAUAUCACAUCUGGCACAAAUGACUGUCUAGUUCUGUUUUUCCUGCCAAGGGGUGCCCUAUACCUGCUCCCAGAGGGGAGUAGUUCAAAGACCGGGUACAGGGGGUGGCUUGGGUCUAAAAUAAUUUUGUGAGCCUUGCGGAGGGCCCUGACCUUCAAGAUCUCAUCCAGGCCUGUCUGUUUGAAUCCAAGUACCUUUCUUGCUGUGGUGAUAAUCCUUCUCAGCAUAUUUCUCUGGAUGACAGUGGCAUUGCCAAACCAACAAACAAUACAACAAGUUAAAAUACUCUCAAUGAAAGAUUUGUUUAAUAGUCAGCAUAAUACAGUCAACAUUAAAAGAUCCCAGCUUUUUGAGAAAGUACAGUCUCUGUUGACUCUUUUUGUAGAUCACGUCUGUACAUUUACUCCACUGAAGCUUAUUGUCCAAGAGGACAGACACCCAGAUAUUUGUAUUCCUCUGCAAUCUCUAUGUUCUGACCUCUGAUAGAUGUUGCAGAGGUAGGCGUUGUACGCUUUCUGAAGUCUAUGCACAUCUCUUUGGUCUUGUUGGUAUUGAGGACCAAGUGUGAUUCCUCACACCACUCUAGAAAGUCAUUUAGGACCGGGUCAUGGUGUUCCUCAUCAUCAUGCAACAGGCUGAUCAAGGCAGUGUCAUCAGCGAACUUAACUAGGUGUCUGUCAGGAUGGGAACAAGUACAACUAUUAGUGUACAAGAUGUACAGGAGUGGGGACAAAACACAUCCCUGAGGAGAGCCUGUGUUGGUGGUGCGUAUGUUCCACACGUGCAGACCUACUUUGACCCGCUGUGACUGGUGGCUCAGGAAGUUCAACAGCCACAAAACCAGCCCCCCAUCUAAGGUGAAGUCCCAAAUGAGUCUCUGUGCCAGAAUGUAAGGCUGGAUUGUGUUGAAGGCAGAAGAAAAGUCAACAAACAAAACCCUGACGUGAUUUGGCACCCUCUAGAUGUCUGUAGACCAUGUUGAGGAGAGUACACCCUCUAGAUGUCUGUAGACCAUGUUGAGGAGAGUACACCCUCUAGAUGUCUAUAGACCAUGUUGAGGAGAGUACACCCUCUACAUGUCUAUAGACCAUGUUGAGGAGAGUACACCCUCUAGAUGUCAUUAGACCAUGUUGAGGAGAGUACACCCUCUAGAUGUUUGUAGACCAUGUUGAGGAGAGUACACCCUCUAGAUGUCUAUAGACCAUGUUGAGGAGAGUACACCCUCUAGAUGUUUGUAGACCAUGUCGAGGAGAGUAAGAAUGGCAUCAUCAGCUCCUCUGAUGGGCUGAUAGGCAAACUUAAACGGGUCGAGAAGCUUCUGGAUGGCACUGAGAACAUGACCUUUCACAAGU
rnacentral:lncRNA from 8 species